rnacentral:lncRNA from 1 species
GAGAUAAAGCCCGAUUGGUGGCUCUUGGGAACUAUAAGGUGUAUGGUCUUGAUUAUGAGGAGACCUUCGCCCCUGUCGCAAAGAUGACUACUGUGAGGACUAUUAUGGCUAUAGCCGCUUCUAGAGAAUGGUCUCUCAAGCAGAUGGAUGUGAAAAAUGCAUUCUUACAUGGUGAUUUGAAGGAGGAAGUAUAUAUGAGUCCUCCUCCUGGUAUGUUCUCUCACUCUUCUACUGAGGUUUGUCGGUUGAGGCACUCUUUAUAUAGAUUGAAACGGGCACCAUGCGCUUGGUUUGAGAAGUUCCGUACCACUUUACUUGAUUUUCAUUUCACUCAAAGUCAGUCUGAUUCCUCCCUAUUUCUUAAACGCACUAUUGAUGGACUUGUUGUGCUUUUGGUAUAUGUGGAUGAUAUUGUGAUCACAGGAUCUGACACUCAGUCGAUUGUGCAACUUCAGCAGCAUCUUAACACCACCUUUCAUAUGAAAGAUCUUAGUUCUCUACAGUAUUUUCUCGGUUUUCAGGUGCAUUCCUAUCCUCAUGGUCUACUUAUACAUCAACACAAGUAUACCCAAGAGAUUCUCACCUCAGCUGGCCUUCAAUCUGGGAAUUCCGUGCUUACUCCACUAGAAGUUAAUUUCAAGCUCAGCCAAGAUGGAGGAGAACUCUUACCUGAUCCAUCCUUAUACCGACAGCUUGUAUGAAGUUUGAACUAUUUGACAAUUACUCGACCCGAUAUUUCUUUUGCUGUACAACAAGUCAGUCAGUUUAUGCAGGCUCCACGACAACCUCAUUUAGCAACCGUACGAAGAAUUCUUAGUUACCUCAAGGGUACAUCUGGUCGAGGGUUGUUUUUCCCUAUAGGGAAUUCUUUGCAAUUAAAGGGUUAUAGUGACGCUGAUUGGGUUGGUUGUGUGGACACUCGACGUUCAGUUACUGGUUGGUGCAUGUUUCUUGGUGAUGCACUUAUAUCUUGGAAGAGUAAGAAGCAGGAUCGUGUCUCGAAGUCCUCUACUGAGUAUCGUGCUAUGUCAUCCGCCUGCUCAGAAAUUGUGUGGCUUCGGGGUUUGUUAGGAGAACUUGGAAUCCCUUAGCUUGCUUCUACUCCGCUUUAUGCUCAUAACACCAGUGCUAUUCAGAUUGCCGCAAAUCUUGUAUUUCAUGAACGCACCAAGUAUAUUGAAGUAGAUUGCCAUUCUAUCCGUGAAGCCC